rnacentral:piRNA from 1 species
UGAAAAUGAAAUGUGCCACCACAUCUUGGU